rnacentral:rRNA from 1 species
UACGUAGGGGGCUAGCGUUGUCCGGAAUCAUUGGGCGUAAAGAGCGUGUAGGCGGCCCGGUAAGUCCGCUGUAAAAGUCAAAGGCUCAACCUUUGAAUGUCAGUGGAUACUGCCGGGCUAGAGUCCGGAAGAGGCGAGUGGAACUCCUGGUGUAGCGGUGGAAUGCGCAGAUAUCAGGAAGAACACCCGUGGCGAAGGCGGCUCUCUGGAACGCAACUGACGCUGAGACGCGAAAGCGUGGGGAGCAAACAGG